rnacentral:lncRNA from 1 species
GCACCUAAUGAGAGCUCCGGAAGUGUUGGCUAUCAUUAGUAGAGAUAAAGACAUGUACAUUACAAAAAUAAUAAUACUGCAAAGUAGAAAUGGAUUAAAGAGAAUACAAGGAGUUCUUAGCGAGAUCAAAGAAAGAGACAGCUGCUUCCAGCUGAGCAAACAGGGUUCAUGUUUCCCUAACAUCCCUGAUGAUAAGAAUCACUUAGAGGGUCGCCUUAAAUACAAGUUUAGCAGCCAUAGUCCAUGUCCCAUUUCUAGGGAAGAGCUGGGAAAUGAGCUGGGGAAGCUGUGUGUUUAGAAAGUACCCCAGGAUUUAUCAUGGAGGAAAUUCAGAAAACUCCGGAAUGAAUGAUAUCCACUCUGGGACUUGAUAGCUAGGUGACAAUAGUAAUAUUAACCCCAAGUUUUCUUUGGGAACCAGGCCCUGCUCGUUCUGACCUCAGUUCCAGCCUCAGAAAUCUGACCUCAGGCAUACGUACUCUUGACCCAGAUGCUUUCCAUCCUCACGAAGUCUAAUUGUGCUAAAUAGUGUACCCAUUUCACAGAUGAAGUGAAAUUUAACAAAAGACCGUGACAUUCUCUAGCAUUAAGUAUGAUAUCUAUUUUUAAUAAUCCUUCAUGUAGGGAGUUCCCACUGUGGCUCAUUGGGUUAAGAACCUGACAUAGUGUCAUGAGGGUGUAGGUUUGAUCCCUGGCCUCACUCAGUGGGUUAAAGAUCCAGCAUUGUUUCAAGCUGAGGCACAGGUCACAGAUGAGGCUCAGAUUUGGCAUCGCUGUGACUGUGGCGUAGGCUGAUGGCUACAGCUCCAAUUUGCUCCCUAGCCCAGGAACUUCCAUAUGCGGCAGGUGCAGCCCUAAAAAAAUCUUUAAUAUGUAUUUGUUUCAGUCUUUCUAAUAUUCUCAACUGAUGUUAGGUGGUCUUAGGGUGGUUAAAAGAGCCAACGUGUGUCGACAUGUAUACAAGGUUUGUAAGAAGUUGGAGUUCAGCCUCAGAGGGCCUGUGGCAAAGUCAUGAACUGCGGAACCAGUGUCAAAAAUGUGGGAAUGACAAGAAUUCAGUUCAAUUUAUUUACGAAGCUGGAAACCCCACGUUCUUGAACACUUAAGUUCUCUCCUGGGGUAGGAGGCCAAAGCUCUAAGGAUGAACCACAAUAAAUUGGACAGUUUUUGACCUAUACAUGCACACACACAUGACCUGAAUUUCUUCCCAUGGAGGUGCAGCCUAUAUGUUCUUACCAAACCACAUUUCUUCCCUCUGAACCCUGGGAAAGUACAGCAGAUGACUAAGAGAAGAGUGAAUUUUCCACCAAAGUCGUACAUGUGGAUAAGAUCUAAUGUUAUCAAAGAACAAACUCAAAGUUUCUACAUCUUGGGAUUACAUAGUAAUUUAAACACGAGGCUUGUUGUGACAAAAUGAGCAUGAUAUAGCAAAGUUGGUGGGAGGAUUUUGUAAAUGAAAGGAAAGAGAAGCUGGGAACCCAGGAAAAGCAGGGAGAAUGGAAAUUGAAGCUCUCCGUUUGGGAGCACGUAGGAAAGGACUACAAAAAGCAGGUUAUAAGGGAAAUAGUAGGAGUUCCCAUCAGUUCAGCAGAAAUGGAUCUGACUAGCAUCCAUGAGGGCAAUGGUUUGAUCCCUGGCUUCGCUCAGUGGGUUAAGGAUCCAGCAUUGCUCUGAGCUGUGGUGUAGGUCACAAACGCAGCUCGGAUCUAACAUUGAUGUGCCUGUGGUGUAGGCCAGUAGCUACAGCUCUGAUUCCACCCCUAACCUGGGAAACUCCAUAUGCCAUGGGUGCGACCCUAAAAAAAGAAAGAAAGAACAAAAAAGGAAAAUAGCAGCAUAUAAUCACGUUACAUCACUCUAGUGCCCUUUGUCACUCAAAUUAAUCAUGCCACCUCUGGUGUCACCUUCCCACCAGCAGAGGGAGGGAACUGUGCCCCUCUAAAAUCUGGAUUUGGGUCCAUUGAUUUGCCUUCGAAGAAAAGGAACCAGGGCAGUUCCUUGGAGCACAGCUUGCACUGAAUCUCUAGGAGACAAAGUCAAGGUGUGCUGGGGAGCCUCUGUUAUUUUCGGGAAAUGAGAUGUCAGGGAUGGUGAUCGAGAAGACAAAGGUGGCUGGAGAAAGGCUCACCCAGAAGAGGGACUCUAACUGGAAGGCACUGAAAUAUAAAACAAAGCACCAAGAGCCUCGUCAACUGAAACAGUGGAAGGAGCCAUAGAUCUAGAUGGAGGCGGAGGAUGGCUAAUAUUUCUGUGCCAGGUCCUAUUCUAAACCCUUCGUUAACAUUAACUCACUGAGACCCCAAAACAACCCCAUCAAAUCCCUGUAUUGGGAUUUAACGCAAAUUUACAAAGAAAGAAACUGGGACACUGGAAAGUUUAAUGUGUUCAAGGUUGUGCAGAGUUACAGAGCCAGGAUUUGAAUCCAAGAUCCCUGACUCUAAAUUCCUGUUUUUCAAUCACCAGCCAGCCUGCAGUGUGGAGUAUACAAAAGGCAAUAUUAAAUGCCUAAAAGAAAGUCCUAAUGCCCGCAUGGGCCUCCAGUGUCAUUGAUAGAAAUAUUGUAUAUUGAUCAACCCAAAGUUACCAAUCACAAACAGCGGAGAGUGGAAACAAGGUAUAACAGGAGUAAGACCUACUUCCCAGUGUCUUUUUGAUGGCAUAUGUUAACUAUUUUGCGACUGUCGAGAAGGGUAAGGGUUAUAGAUGGAGGAGGUAGGGCUUAAGAAGUUUGAAAGUGUGCUAUGAACUUGGAUGGAGACUUUGUAUUAAGGGAGAGGUGAGUUAUACCCUGGAUGAGCCUGGAAGUUAUACCUGGGAUGAGCCAGCAUCAAAGGGUUUCUUAGAAUCAGCCUGAGCUUUAACUUCAAGCUGAUUUCACCUGCCAACACAAGAGAACCUUCAUGGCUGGUUUUGGUGGAGAGCAGCCUAUGCAAAAGUAUGCAGAGGGAUAGCCCUCUAUGUCACAGCAGAGUGGGUUUGAAUCCUGGCUCCAAACUCAUCAACUGGUGAGCUCUCAGGCAAAUCUCUUGGCUAAACUGUGCCUUGAUUUCCUCAUCUGAAAAAAUGGAGGGGAGGUGGUAACAAAACCCACUUCUUGGAGUUGUUUUGAGAGAAUUAAAUUAGAUGAUACAGGUAGACUGCUUGGCAAGAGGAUCUGGCACUUAAUAAAAACUCAAUAAAGACAAUAAAAUAAGCUAUAGAUUUUCUCUGUGGACAAGCCCAAAAUUAUUUAUACAGCACAGGAUUUCCCUGGGAAGAAAAGACACAUGAGGAGGAUCAACUGAAAACUGAUGCUUUUGUUAGGUUGUCACAGGCCUGUUCAUCUUUGCUUAGGAAUAUGAAGUGAUCAAGCCCACAAUUCACAUUUGAAUUAUAUAGUAGAGUUGACUUGACUUAACCCUCCAGGGCAGGUUCAUGCCCAUUUUGCAGGUGAAGAAACUGAGGCUCAGAAAUGGGAAACAACAGACCCCAGAAACACCAUAGGAUAGCACCAGAUUGUAGCUCUAACUCAGGUGUCCUGCAACCAAGGUCAGAGUCUCCCUGGCCCCUUGGGUGUCCUGGGGCCCUUCUCUUCUCCUUCCUGCUCUCCUCUUCCUGUAGCCAGAGAAGAUCAGAAAAACAAGCACCAUCUCUACUAUGCUAGGGCUGAUUUUCUGUUUUUUGUAGGGAUGAUUAUCACAGACAUUGGGAUCCAAAAAAAAAAAAAAUGAGAGAAUCAAAUGACACAUUAGCUUUCUGUACACAAUUACUUUUUUAAUCUGAUAAUUUCAAAAUAGCAUUUAUAUAUUAUCUGAUUGGAUGCAAUCAUUAGAGUGUAGGUCUGAAAGUUAAUUUUUUUUUUAGUUUAUUGGUGUAUAAUUGACUUACAAUGUUGUAUUAGUUUCAGGUGUACAGCAAAUUGAAUAUGCCACACACACAAAUUUUAAAAUGUUGUUGGAAUUCCUUGGUGGCUCAGUGAGUUAAGAAUCUGGCAUUGUCACUGCUGUGGCACAGGUUCAAUUCCUGGCCUGGGAACUUCCUCAUGCCAUGGGCAUGUUCAAAAAAUAAAUAACAAUAAAAAUGAGUAGUUGUGAGCAAAAGAGAAACAUAUACAUAUGUAUGGUAUAGGUUUCGUGUGGUGUUUGUCUCUUAGGAUUGUGUAUCUCUAAGAGGCAAGGGUGUGUUGUGUGUUGUGCCUUACAUGUGUACUUCUAAGGUGUGUGUGUGUGUUUGCAGUGUAUGUAUGUGUGUAUAUAUGUGUAUGCAUGUGUGGUGUCUAUGUUUAUAUCUGUGCUAAAUAGACCUGCACUUGUAUACAUACUUUUCUAAGUAUUAUGUGUGAUUGUGUGUGUUGGUAUGUACACAUGUCUGUCUGUCUGUAUGUAUGUCCAUAUGUAUAUAUGCAUGUAUGCAUGUAUAUGUAUAUUUGUGCAUUGUAGUUUUUAGUGGAGAUGAUGUGUGAAUGAGCAUUAUCUGUAGGAGUGAGUUUUGUGUGUUGCGUAUAUGUUAUAUAUGUGUGCACCCAUCCAUUACAUGUUGUGUUAGGUGUGUUCUAUCUGUCUUUGCCAUAUGGGUGUGUCUUGGUGUGGAAGGCUGUGUGUGGAUGUGCAGUGUGUCUAGGAAGAAUGUAUCUGGAUAAGUAUAUAGAAAGAGUGUGUGAGCCUAUGUGUGGAGUCUGUGUCCUGUAGCUUAAAAUACAGUGUAUCCGGGUAUGCUCAGUGUCUGUCUGUAGGAUGUGUUCUAGGUGCAUGCGUAUGAGUUUUCGUGCUGCGUCUCUGAAUGCCUGGAUUGCGUGUGUGUGUGUGUGUGUGUGUGUGUGUGUGUGUGUGUGUGUGUGCUCCUGCCAGGCAUGGCUCCCUCCCGGGGCCUCUCUGUCUGAGCCACAUUCCCCGCACUAUCCCCCGCCCCAUCUUGGUGCUGGCGUCUGGUGGUUAUUAGCUGGUCAGACACUUUUAUCUCCUCAAAAUAUCCUAUCACUCAUGCUCAGCUCAGUAAUCACAGGAAUGGGCCUCAGAGACGUGGUUUCUGCUGCAUCCUCCAUAGACCGGGCAAGCUCAUGUCCCUCUUACCCAUUAGUCACUGAAAAUAAAAGCUUGCAAGCAAAAGAGCCGCUGUCUUAGCUGGGGUUAACCAUUUCUGAACCAGUUUGAGGUUCUCUUCGGUGAAGCUGGAAAUCUGUUGCACAGGCCCUGGCUGGAACACCAGGGGCUGGCAGCUUUGAAACACCCAUGAAGCGCAGUUCGCAACCAGUAUAAAAUCAGAUGACUAGACUAGCCAUUUUUCCUCAAAUGGAAGGCUAUUGGCAUUUUUCGGGGGGGGGGGUCCCAAGGGAUCACGGGUUAUGGAAUCAGACUUUUCUGUGCCUUGCAGGGUGUUUAGCCUGCCCAGCUCCAAACCCUUGAUGCCUCAUGGUGUCCCUGGUCAGUAUGUCUGCAAAAUGUUCCCCACCUUCAAACUGCCCACUGUGUGGGGGGUUCAGGGCAGGGGAGGAGCUAAACAAACUAUGGAAGGUAAGGAAUCACUGGACUAGAAGGAACUUAAAGGACAGCUUUCCAUCACUAUCCUGCUAGAACAUUCUACCAUCUUUAUUUACUCAUCCAUCCACCCAUCUAUUCAUUCUUCUGACUAAUCCUUACAGAGCAACUCCUCUGAGCCCGGCACUUUUCUAAGUUUUGGGGAUAGACUGUGGAGCAGGAUAAGCAAGACCCCUGUCUCCCCUUAUUUUCCAGUAGGGAAGACAGCAAACUUACAAAAAGACUCAAAAAUGUGGGGGUCAUAAUAAGACACUAGGCAGCAGAGAAGCCGGGUCAUUUGAUCGUGGGAAGGAGUUUGGCUUCUUUAGAUUAAGGGAGAGCAGUCAGGGGAGGCUCUGAAAGGGAUUAUUUAAGUUGAGCCCUGAAGAAUAAAAAGAACUCAGACGUGUAAAGACCUGGAAGGAGACUAUUCCAUUCUAGGUAGACCAGAUCAUAAAUUCUUGGUGUGUUGGAAGAAGACACAAACAACCAGGAAGAUGGAAAAGGAUGGGGGGUGGGCUGGCAGUGACAGAGAAGGGGAAGGGGGAAGGGGAAUUUGGAGAGAAGGAAAAGUCCAGAAUCACAUAUGGCCUUUGAGCUGUGGCUAAAAUUUAGGUUUUAUUCUAAGGGCAAUGGGUAGCCAUAGUAGGAUUUUUACAAAGUAGGCUCUGUAUAGAAAGGAUGAAUGUAUGGUCUAUGUACAUUAUCCUACCUUACACUAUUCUGAAGAUGAUGGUAUGAUUAUUCAAAUCUUGCAGAAAAUGAAAAUAAAGGUUUUAAAGAGGUUGAGCAUCUUGUCCAUGCCAAGAGUCCCAUUUCUAAUCCAAGUAGUCUGACACCAAAAUCCACUGCAUGCUUAAUCAAAUCCAUGGAUCCUGUUGCUGAAGGCCCUGGAAUGUCUUAGGAUUCUGAGUCACCACCCAGUUUUGGCAUCUAUGAGUUCUAGUUUUUCUACUCUUGGAUCCCCUGCUGGGGGUGUCCAUCCCUCUCUACAACAUCACACUCACCUAGACAAUAAACCUCUCUGCCCUGAGGCAGCCUGAAUGAGUAUCUGUUUCUUUGCCUCCUACAUGCUACACCAGUAAAGAGGCAGGUUAAGAUCAGACCAGAGGGCAUCUGACUGUGACCCCAUUGGAUGGUUCUUUCGGCUUCACCUGGCAGCUCUCCACAGGCAGAGGAAGGAGGUAAGAUUCCCUCUUCCUCUCUCUCUCUCUUACACACACACACACACACACACACACACACACACACACACACACACACAAACUUUCUCAUUCCAUCCGUGCAUCAGCAUGCCAGGCUCCCCAGCUGUAAAUAUUUACUCCAGGCUCUUUUACCUACAAAGCAUAAACAGUUCCAGCACAUGCUCAGCACAGGGUCACCCCAUAACUGUUCCAGGGUAUCUCUGCCUUUUCCCUGGAAGCCGUGAUGAUAGAGGGUUCUGGGCUGCCUCUCUGAGGCUUCCUUCUUGACCACUGUCUCCCCACACUCAAGUGCAGUGGGAGCUGGGGCAAUGACAGUCUCUGGGGCUCUGACUCCUCCAAGGGAGACCCAAAGCCUCACCCCUCCCAAGAGAAGGGCCUUCCAGUCCACUGAUCACAAAGCAAGGAGGUCUAGGACAAAGCUAGUCCAGUUGGUACUUUCAUUGAAGCCCAAAUUUAAGCAAUGAGACCCUACUCUACAGCACAGGGAGCUGUAUCCAAUCUCUUAGAACAUGACAGAACAUAAUAUGAGAAAAAGAAUGUAUGUAUAUGUAUAUGUAUUAUAUGCCUUGAUCACUUUGCUAUAUAGCAGAAAUUUGCUCAACAUUGUAAAUCAACUAUAGUUCAAUUUUUAAAAAUAAAUAAAAUUAUUUGGAAAAAAUAAAUAUAAGAUUUCUUGCUGUAGCUUAGCAGGUUAGGAACUCAACCAAGUAUUCAUGAGAAUGCAGAUUUGAUCCCUGGCUUUGCUCACUGGGUUAUGGAACUGGUGUUGCCAUGAGCUGUGGUGUAGGUUGCAGGCAUGACUUGAAUCCUGCAUUGCUGUGGCUGUGGCUGUGGUGUAGGCUGGCAGCUGCAGUUCUGAUUCAAUCCCUAGCCAGGGGACUUCCAUAUGCUGCAGGUACGGCCCUAUAAAGAAAAAAAAAA